CGUGAAGGGCAAACUCAUUUACCUUGCUAAUCACCAAACCAUUGGCUAGUAACAUCUUAGACUCCAUAAAACAAUGAUUUGAACUUUGAAGUAGUCAAUUAUCAUCAAUCUGUUUCCCAUUUGGACACUCCAAGUUAUCGUUCUGGCUGCCCUCGAUACCACCAUGACACCAUCACCCAUGCUUCAAUAGCCUGAGAAAUGGUCUUCACUGUGAAUGUAGCUUUUUACAACGCCAGCUAUAACCUGUCACUCUCUGUGCGGCUGGGGAAUCAAUGAGAGGUUGAAAUGAGCUUUUUCCAAUUUGAUAUCAUAAAAAAAAAAUGGUGAGGUUUCAAUUAGGUUAAGAUCUUUACUCAACAACAAUCACAACUCCAUCUUGCUUUGCUAACAAAAGAAGCUUUGCCUUUUCAUGAGCCUCUCACUGUCAUUGUUAUGUGCUGCCUAUUCUUCCGGUGUUCAACACCAAAAACCUUUCACCUUACCCCUAACACACAACUUACAGCUUCAUGAUUGCUUCAGCUUUUUUCCUUCUGGGAAAAUGAUGGAUUUCACUGGCUGCUUGUUCUACUGAAAAGGGAGUCUUCCGAGGAAUCAGAGGUGGAGACAGAUGCUUUAUAUCUAAAAAUUCAUCGUUACCGGUGGUUGCCUCAAAGGCCGGCAAUUUAAGCAUCGCAUAAAAGAAAGACUAACGAAGUUACAAAAUGUUUUUUCGAAACACUUCAAUAAAAUUU